GUGUUCUGUGCCUUGGGAAGUUAGUGCCAGGAGUUCCUGGAGGAGUGAGAGGGUGGGAGGAGGCACGUGAGCCUGUGAGGGCAUCUGUGGAGUUUUCAUUACACCGAAAUUUUGUGGUUGAUAAGGCCAGACACUGCCUGCCAGGAGGUUUUCUUGCUCAACCUUUGGAUUUAGACGUUUCUUUCUCCUUCUCUGGGUUGGGUAGUGUUCCUUGGUGUUUUCCAAAUCUGUGGAGUUGAGUUUGUUUGAUUUCAGUAUAGAAAUGACAGUAUUGGUUAGGAUGAAAAAUGGCAAAGCUUUGUUGGAGGAAGAGGAUAAAAUACAGAGAAAGGAAGGGCCUUAGCAGAAAGAAAAAAAAUCAAAAUGUCAGAGUUCUAUUUUUCACAUUGUGUAAAAAGCCCCCCCCCCCUAAAAAAAUAGAGUGCAAUAAAGAUUCAGUCUUGUGUGGGAGGAUCUCUGUGAGUUGGAGACCAGCCCUGUCCACAGAUCAAAUCCCAGGACAGCCAGGGCCGCACAGGGAGACGGUGCCAGGAUUACAGGCAUGCACCACUACCCCUGGCCAACGUUUCAUUUUAGCUGCAAAUCGCCAGAUUAACGGGAGGAUGAACGAUAUGAAGAAAGAUUUUGGUGAAAGGGAACAUACUAUGGAAAGUGAGACAGUGUUCAUUGAACUGAUCUAUAUGCUGUAUUCCCUUGGUGGCUGUUUCUGACUCCUCUGGGGUUACAGACUGACCCUCCAGGGCUGGAUUUCGAUUGGGGUUCCCACCCCUGCCUGAGAUUCUCUUUUGUGAAGCAGUCAAGACUACUCUAGGG
rnacentral:lncRNA from 1 species